AUUGCCUACAGAAUUAUUAAAAGCUUUUUUUUCAUUGCUGUUUGCAUGGGAAGAAUUUACUUUCAUGCCCUCUAAAACAUUCACAUGCUUUCUUAAAUUGUUGAGUCCCAUGUGGGUGUGAAGUUUUGGGUUGGAGCUUUUAAAAACCUCUUUUAACUUACUCCACUUCCAGCAGCAUGUCUCAGCCCCGGCUGAGGGCGGGGCGGGGGGGGAGAAUGAGCCGCCCCGGCUGGGCAUGGGAAGGCUAAUUAAGGGCAGCCGGCGGUGGCUGAGCCGCUACCGCGCGCCUCGGCCGUUAUUGCGCACCUGGGCCGCUACCGCGCGCCGCGGUCGUUAUUGCGCACCUGGGCCGUUGCCACGCGCCUGAGCCGUUACCCAGCUACCCGGCGGCGGUGCGCGCUGUGUGGGGAGUUGUUUUAAAGGUGAGGGGAAACGGCUGACACGGAGUUGCGGCCGUGACGUGGUGGGUCCCGCAGAGCCGAGCGCGGCUGGUGUCGGGGAGGAGGAAAAAGGUGUUGAGCGUUGCAGCUGUCCUGGUGGGGAGGCAGGCGGCAGGCGUAGGGCGGAAAUGGUCUUUUGUUGCUGAAAACUGAGUAAAAGGAUUAAGCUUUUGGGAACAGAGAAAGCCGGGAACCCUGGCAGAUCAGGUUGUGUGCAGAGACACAUAGGCACAAAGGAAAGCCUUGAGGUAAUCCAAGCACCUUAGGAACCUACAUAAGAAGAUACCUCAUCCUUCUGGAAAGUUGUUAAAACUGAGUAAGACGAAGGUCUUUUACUGGCUCGACACAGUCAAGUAUUUCCUGUAUGGAAGCAUGUGAACUUUGGAAGGAAUGGAGAAAUUUGCAUUCAAUACUUGACAUUAUACUGAAGUGUGUUGUGGCCUGUGUCUCCACACUGAAAAUUGAAAAAAAUGUAUCUUCAGUUUCUCGAUGGCAGUUCUCCAGUGAUCUUUCUCUGCAUAAUUCUUCCCAGAUGAAAGUAAUUAUUUGCUACAGUGAUUAAAAGUGAGAAAAAUAAAAAGUAUUCCAGAGUUUUUCAAGCCGAGGUUCUGUGUUUCUUCUUAUUCCUGAAUGUAAAGACUACAUUGUUUCUUUCUCAAUAUUGGGUUCACAGGUCCCUCAUGUAUUCUAAAGUCUGAGCCAAAAUCUUUUAAAGCACAACAAUGUCUUCAUAUUAGUAAAAGUAUUUGUCGUUACUCUCGACUCAUCUAUUCUACUUGGACAUAGCUGUUUGUUUUGUUUUGUUUUUUCCUGAUAUCUGUUAAAGAAUUUUCACAUUGAGAAUGUGGGCUUGGAUGUAUUCCCUAUGAAAACCACUUUGUCCAACAGUAUAAUUCAUAGGGGAAUAUAAAUAUCACUAUAUAUGACAUUAUAUACAUACGUAUCUACACAUGCAGGAUUUGUUCCACUGUUUGGGUCAGUAUUCACUAACUGCACAGCAGACCCGUGUUGGUGCCCACAAAGUCUCAAAUACAAGACAGUUUGCUGAAUCAUUGGAUGGCUUAUCUCACUUAGCAUGUCAAACCCAUCACCAACAGUGAAUACUUUUGUCCUGGACGAAUAGCACAGGAUAACUUCAGUCGCAUGUAGUGUAUACUGCCUUUCUCAAGUGACUAGUAAGAGGUUGUAGAACUGUACUAAGCCUUAUUUUUCUUAUGGUCACCACUAUGAGACAGCUAAGCCAUUCUGUGAUAGUUGCAAUAGGUGUAGUGACAAAUUUUCUGCGCAAGCUUUGUUUUUUCCUCAGUGACCGCUAAUAAAACUCUGUGUUCUGUAGUCUUAAUCACAGUAAGCACAGAGCCUUUUUCAAACCAUAGUGUGCCACCCAUAUGAUCUGGUCUUUGAAAGAUGUUUUUUAUUCUGAUAAAAUGUUAAUCAGAGAUCACGGGAAAGUUUUUCUCUCCUCUUUAGUGCGGAGAGAUCCUGGUGUCUUUUCUCAAGGAAAACCAUGGUUUGUGCCACUCUGUUGUAGAUGUGUCUUCAAGAUACUGUCCAAUAUUCAGAAUCCAGGUAUUUUUCUCUACUUUCGUGUUACUUGCCACUGCAUAAGCACUGAACAAUGAUGCCACAUAAUUUUUUUUUUCUGUUUCUUGGUUUCACUUAUUGUUCUGAAUCAGUAGCUAUCAUUACUUUGAUCCAGUUCAGCUGUCCUUGCAUUUCUUCCUGUAUUUCUUGUAUUUCUUAAUGGUUCAGAGGAAUGCUUGAAAGAAUACUAGAAAGUGAAAUCUCAAGUCUUCAUGUAGUCCUGGUACCAGUAAGUAGAAUCUCCACAACUAUAUGUGUUUGCCAGAGUUCCUAGUAUAAUUAUGUGUUCACCAAUUUUGCAUACUUGGCACAUUUUUGCAUUAAUUGUUACUAAAAUAAGUAGUUAUAGAGAUGCUGUAAAUUUGGUUACUUUUGCAGGUGUAUACAAGCCCGCUUCCAGUUACCUUCUGCUGGUAAUUUACUCCUACAUUCAUCCAGCUGGUUCCAUGCAAAUAGUUAGGAUCUUGGACCCUAUCCAAAAUCCACUGUUUUAGAAAUACUUGUUCGUUAAAAGUAAGGUCUUAAUGAGGUACUCAGAUUCUAGAUUACUCUAGGAUUUUAAUAAAGCUACCUUUUGCAAGCAUAUUUUGAGAUUUCAUUUUUAUUUACAAAGUGUUUUCAGAAAACGCUGUCUACAAAAUCUCUCUCCAAAAAAAAAAAAGUCUCAGUGAAUAUGAAUUCAAACCUAAUGGAUACUGGCUGGUAUGCAAGUUACACAGGCUGCUGUCUACAACUUGCUCACUUUACCACUCAUUUACCUGCUGCAGAUCUAUGGCUGCUUACUUAGGGAACUGAGAUACAAGUUUCUGAUUUCCCAGCUUGAUUUGCCACCUUUACAGUUAGUCUGGUAGGUCAAGAAGGAGCCACAUGUUUACUUCACCAGAAACACUUGAAAGCUUGCUUCCUUCCUUUCUUCUUUCUAGAUCUUUUUGUGAACCCCAGACAUCUAGUACCUGUACAGAGGAAACCAGAUUGUCCUUAAUUCUUGGAAUCAAAGGUUUCCUUGGCUCAUGACUGUCUACCAGAUGGGCUUCCUCAGAUUUUUCCCUUAUAAAGAAUUUUGAGAUUUAUUUUCAAGCAAAAGUAAAACAAAAUAAACCACCAAUUCUAAAAAAAAAAAGUGUAAUUGCCUUUCAGUUGAAGAAAUACACCUGGAAGUACAGAAGUAUCUUUGUAUUUUGGGAAGAGCAGGUAAGUGUUGUCCUCUAAGGUCAAGAAAUAGACAUGAUCUGAAAUGUCAUUAACACAAAAUUUACAACAUUUUAGGCUGCAGAUCAGGAAACACUCUGCUCAGUUAAAUUAGUUUCACCAGUACAUACAUGCAUCUUAAAUCUCUAGCAUUUCAAUGACUGAAAAACAAAGAGGGGGAUAAACAUAAAAAAGAGAAAACAGUAAGUUUGAUUAUAAAUCAACAUUUCUAAGACCAUGAACUAGUUUUAUAUUUUAGACAGCACAAUAUUUUCAAUCAUGAAAGAGAAUAUGAAAAGGCAAAGAAAAAACCCCUAUACUCUAAAUAAAAAAUAUUCGUACAAAAAAGAGAGAAACAAAGGCAAGAAUAAUGACACAGAAUGAUAAGCACCUUGUGAAAUUUCAUGCCAUACUUAUUACUUAUAGAUUGUAUUUGCCACUUUCAUAUAUUAUGAUAAGAAAAGUCACAGAUACAGAAAUAGAUUAUAAUCAGAGCACAAAUUAUUGCCAUCUACUUUUAGGACAAGACAAAUAAAAUGAUAGAGGAAAAUUUUCAUGUAAUAUUAAAAGCAGAACUAUUGUUACUGCCUUAAUGUAGUAUAAAAUUAAAGACUGUGAUCUGACCCAUGCGUUAGUGACAGGUAACCUUUGAAGUUGAUAAUGUGUUAGUAACGAAGAGAUUACAUUACAAAUUUUCAUUAAAGACAGAUGAACCUGAAUGGGAAGUUCAGGGAAUGUGGAUCCAAACUGUUCUCUGUGAAUACGGUCCUAGGUCCGACAUGUCUCCCAGUGAGCAAGCAGCACAGCACAGGGCCUUUCAAAGUUUGGCGUUAUAGAAUUUGCCAAUUACAAGUCUGACUGAUUCAUGGGAAAAGACCCAAGUGAUGUGUGUGCCAAGGUGCGAGAGUGCAAUUUUUUGUGGGAAGAUUUUCCUUUUUCUGUUGAACAAAGUGCUGUAAACAUUCUUUCUACUAGAGAACUGUUCUAUAAACAAUUUUGUCACCAUGACUGGGUUGUGCAGAACAUCCUGGAAGGCACUGAUUGUUUGUCUGCAAAAAAAAAGCCUUCUGUUGGAUUGGAAGAUUCAGACUGGUUAUAAAAGGAGCUGUUCUUUAUCCCUUGAUUUCUGUCUUACUGCCAAUAUUUGUGAUUCUGUUUGUAACAGUUGCUGUUUAAGGCUUGCCAUGCUUUGUGAUAGCUUUGCCAUUAGGUUUUAUGGGAAGCGUAACUUACGGAAAUGCUUGUUCUGAGUUUCCAUAGUUUAUAUCACAAAGAACUGUGAAGUUAAAGACAAUGUCUGGUGUGGAGAGUGGGAAAGGGGCUGAAGUAUAGUGAACUCCUCUACAGAUACAUACACACAACAUGCAUACCAGUAACUACUAAAGUCAAUCUGAGUGGUUUUGACUGAUUAUAUCUAUGCCAUAUUUACUUUUUCUAUUUUAAAAUGUUAGUGGUUAUACUGUUUACUUACAUAUUGCAAAAUCAGCCUAUUAGACUGAAACUCUCAUUCCAUUUAUGAAGGAUUUUAUUAUUUUGCUUUUUAAAUUUAUAAAUCUCUCUCUUAAUGCUUUAACUGGGGACUGAGCGGCAGAUAGGCAGAGCCGUUGAUGUUCACUUCAGCAAACAUCAUCUCAACUAUAAUCCUUAAUCAAUGCUUUACCUUCUAGCCCUUGCUACUUGCCAGUGUGUGGAUCCUGCCCUCAGUGGGCCUGAUUACCAAUUAGGGAACAAGAAACAUAUGCUCCAAAUCACAGUUCAGUUUACUGAAAAUGUUUGAACACUGACAGCAAAUACUAGUGUAUCUACAAAUGUGUGCAUAAGCUUUUUCAAAUCUCUCAGGACUUUAAUUACCAGGUCUGUGGUCUACUUUAGAGCUAAACAGACAUUGAAUUAUCAAUGGAUUUUGAACCAUCUGUGAACCUUAUAACUGAACAUUUUGAAAUUUUCAAAUCAAGUAUCAAACUUUAUGAAAGGCAAAAAUGUACCACUAAAGGAUGAACAUUUAUGUGACUCAUGUGACAAGUAUUAUGGGGUGGCUAUGACAACAAGCAGAAAUUUAUUUUCCUAAAAGAGCAUUCUGUGCAGGAGCAAUGGGAAGUCUGCUGUGGAUAUGACACGUCACUGAAUGUGUUACACAAUGCCACUGUAUUUUUCUUUUCCAAGUAAGCAAAUAAGAACAAACCCUGUAUUUCCCUAGAACAUGGGCACUAGUUUAUGUCCGAGUUACUACUUUAAAUAUGGGAGAUAAACUAAUAAGUGUGUAGUCGGCAAUAGCUGCAAUAUUAAAAUACGUAUGUUUUAGAGCAGCUUUCUAUGUACAUAAAGUAAAAUGAAAAUAUUAUUU